AUAGCUUGUGAGUGGUGCUGUGCACAAAAAAAGAAAUUGCUAGAGAAUAAUGCGGUAGCCUUCGCGGCGGACACGCAUAAAUAUUGCAUAAAUAACAUGUUGCAGAGGACGAAAGAAAAGUGUGUGCAUCGCAGUCAGUUAUAGAUCAUUUACUAACCGCUUUCAUAUUGCUUCGUUUCACUUUAUUUGAACGUGUGCGUGGGAUUUGUAUAUUUGUAAUGUGAUAAGAGGUAUACCUUGCACAUGAUAUAUUUUAGCCUUCAUCAGUAGUUUGUGGCUCUCUUGAAACUGACAAGCCCCCACUGUAUGCUACGUUGAAGCGCUAUGAAAUGUGGGUAUACAGGUCGUGAUGAAAAUUUGUUGGGAUCAGCGAACACAUGCCAAACUGCGUGAUAUCGCCUUCUGGUGAAGCAAGAGACUUGUGUUGUUAGGCACACGAGCUAGAAUGAAGGCGCAUGCGCAGUGCCGUGUCUUCAUAUUAAGAGCUAGUUUGGGCAGAGGGUGCAGGAAUGCGUCAUGGCACCCCCUCCUAGAUUGUGCGACAUUUGACUGCGCUUGGCGCUAUCCCGCUCUAGGAAGUCACCGCCUCCACGGUCCGUACGGGACGAGGCGACUGUGGCCCGGAAAGAAACAGGUCGAUCCUACUUGACGAUGCCGAGCGGCCACUACAACUUGGCCCAGGGUGCAAGCAGUGCACCCUCUGAUCUGGAGGAAAGCAGUGUUCCCGCAGAAACCAGAGAAGCAGCGGGGCACCAGCGAGACAACCAGGCUGCCUACAGAAAGCAAGAGUGCGACGUGUGCCGGUUCGCUUUCACCGACGCGGAGGCCUUCGAAAAGCAUGCCGCUGACCACUUGCUUGGGAAAAAACACAACUGUCCCGUGUGCGGUAAACUGUUUCCGAGGCCUUCGAAGCUCACGAGCCAUUUAGCUACACACGGUGAACCAUCCUUUGAGUGCGCUGUCUGCGGCAAAAAAUAUUAUACCGUAGGUGGCCACAGGAACCAUAUGCUGUCAUGCCACCUAGGCGCACACGACUGAGAAGUCAUCGAGGCGUCUCGUUCACACCACAGCACACACCGCGAAAUUGGACGAGCCCGUAGGGAAGCACUGUCGCACCUGACAGGGGCAUCGGCAUUGGUGUAGCCGGAUAUUCGCCUGGGAGGAGUGACGUCUCUGGAUGUCACUCUGGCGCCAAGACGUGUCGUGUGCCUUCGCAGAAGAACUUGCGGUCUGGGCCUCAACUGUUACAGCUGAGCGCUAACUUUUUGACAAACAAAAUAUGGCUAAUCUUAUUCCUUCUGACUACGGCUGACAAAUGCCUGCCAAUAAAGUUCUUACAAUAAAGUUAUCGCGAGGGAUACUGUG